rnacentral:rRNA from 1 species
CUACGGGCCGCAGCAGUGGGGAAUAUUGCACAAUGGAGGAAACUCUGAUGCAGCAACGCCGCGUGGAGGAUGACACUUUUCGGAGCGUAAACUCCUUUUAUAUAGGAAGAAGAUGACGGUACUAUAUGAAUAAGCGCCGGCUAACUCCGUGCCAGCAGCCGCGGUAAUACGGAGGGCGCAAGCGUUACUCGGAAUCACUGGGCGUAAAGAGCGUGUAGGCGGAUCAAAAAGUCAGAAGUGAAAUCCUAUAGCUUAACUUUAGAACUGCUUCUGAAACUCUUAAUCUAGAAUAUGGGAGAGGUAGAUGGAAUUUCUGGUGUAGGGGUAAAAUCCGUAGAGAUCAGAAGGAACACCGAUUGCGAAGGCGAUCUACUAGAACAUUAUUGACGCUGAGACGCGAAAGCGUGGGGAGCAAACAGGAUUAGAUACCCGCGUAGUC